rnacentral:rRNA from 1 species
GUCCACGCCGUAAACGAUGAUCACUAGAUGUGGGUUUCCCUUGAGGAGAUCUGUGUCGAAGCUAACGCGUUAAGUGAUCCGCCUGGGGACUACGGUCGCAAGAUUAAAACUCAAAGGAAUUGACGGGGGUCCGCACAAGCGGUGGAACAUGUGGUUUAAUUCGACACUACGCGAGAAACCUUACCUAGGCUUGACAUAUUUUGUACUGUUGUGGAAACAUAAUUUUCCGGGAAACCGGACCAUUAUACAGGUGCUGCAUGGCUGUCGU